rnacentral:rRNA from 1 species
CCUACGGGUGGCAGCAGUGAGGAAUAUUGGUCAAUGGGCGCGAGCCUGAACCAGCCAAGUCGCGUGAGGGAUGAAGGCUCUAUGGAUCGUAAACCUCUUUUAUAAGGGAAUAAAGUGUGGGACGUGUCCUAUUUUGUAUGUACCUUAUGAAUAAGGAUCGGCUAACUCCGUGCCAGCAGCCGCGGUAAUCCGGAGGAUCCAAGCGUUAUCCGGAUUUAUUGGGUUUAAAGGGUGCGUAGGCGGCCUUUUAAGUCAGCGGUGAAAGUUUGUGGUGCAACCAUAUAACUGCCGUUGAAACUGCGGGGCUUGAGUAUGUGUGAGGCAGGCGGAAUGCGUGGUGUAGCGGUGAAAUGCAUAGAUAUCACGCAGAACCCCGAUUGCGAAGGCAGCCUGCCAAGCCAUGACUGACGCUGAUGCACGAAAGCGUGGGGAUCAAACAGGAUUAGAUACCCCUGUAGUC